rnacentral:rRNA from 1 species
GGGCAAUGACAUGGGAAGAAAGUCUGAUGGAGCACGCCGCGUGAGUGAUGAAGGUUUUCGGAUCGUAAAACUCUGUUGUCAUUAGAGAGGGACAGGUAUGAGAGGUAAUGCUCAUGCUAUGACCGCUACCUUGCGAGAAAGCCACGGCUAACUACGUGCCAGCAGCCGCGGUAA